AAGUGAAAAGUGAAAGUGAAGUUGCUCAGUCGUCUUCUACUCGUCCUGACCCCAUGAACUGCAGCCUACCAGGCUCCUCCACCCAUGGGAUUUUCCUGGAGUGGGUUGCCAUUGCCUUCUCUGGUUAUCCAGUAAAUGAUCCAUUCGUUUCAAAUAGACGCCAUUUGAAUCAAAUGGUAUAAUAAAACUAUCUAAAAUCAAAGACAGAAUUUUCAAAGCAUUAAGAAGCAAAAACCUUUUGCUCAUACAAGGAAGGUCCCAUAAGGCCAGCAACAGAUUUCUCAGCAGAAACUUUGCAGGCCAAGAGACAGUGGAAUAAUACAUUCUAGGUGCUGAAUGAAAAAGCUGCCAACCAAGAAUACUUUACCUAGCAAAGCUGUUCUUCAGAAGUGAAGACUAGAUGAAGACUUUCCAAGACAAACAAAGCCAUAGGAGUUCUUCACCACUAGACCUGCCUUACAAGAAACACUGGAAAUUCUUCAAGCUGAAAUGAAAAGAAGCAUAUUACUAAUGUGAAAAUAUAUAAUGUAUUGCUACAGGAGCUCAAAAGAGAACAGACGAAGCCCAGAGGCAGCAGGAGGAAGGCAAGAGCAGCGACAGAUGAGUGGGGGCCAGAGAGACGCUCAAAGAGUUUGAUGAGAGUAAGAGCUGGUAUUUUG